rnacentral:rRNA from 1 species
CGCACAGCGAAAGGUGCUUGCACCUUUCAGUGAGUGGCGAACGGAGUGAGUAACACGUGGACAACCUGCCUCAAGGCUGGGGAUAACAUUUGGAAACAGAUGCUAAUACCGAAUAAAACUUAGUGUCGCAUGACAAAAAGUUAAAAGGCGCUUCGGCGUCACCUAGAGAUGGAUCCGCGGUGCAUUAGUUAGUUGGUGGGGUAAAGGCCUACCAAGACAAUGAUGCAUAGCCGAGUUGAGAGACUGAUCGGCCACAUUGGGACUGAGACACGGCCCAAACUCCUACGGGAGGCUGCAGUAGGGAAUCUUCCACAAUGGGCGAAAGCCUGAUGGAGCAACGCCGCGUGUGUGAUGAAGGCUUUCGGGUCGUAAAGCACUGUUGUAUGGGAAGAACAGCUAGAAUAGGAAAUGAUUUUAGUUUGACGGUACCAUACCAGAAAGGGACGGCUAAAUACGUGCCAGCAGCCGCGGUAAUACGUAUGUCCCGAGCGUUAUCCGGAUUUAUUGGGCGUAAAGCGAGCGCAGACGGUUUAUUAAGUCUGAUGUGAAAGCCCGGAGCUCAACUCCGGAAUGGCAUUGGAAACUGGUUAACUUGAGUGCAGUAGAGGUAAGUGGAACUCCAUGUGUAGCGGUGGAAUGCGUAGAUAUAUGGAAGAACACCAGUGGCGAAGGCGGCUUACUGGACUGCAACUGACGUUGAGGCUCGAAAGUGUGGGUAGCAAACAGGAUUAGAUACCCUGGUAGUCCACACCGUAAACGAUGAACACUAGGUGUUAGGAGGUUUCCGCCUCUUAGUGCCGAAGCUAACGCAUUAAGUGUUCCGCCUGGGGAGUACGACCGCAAGGUUGAAACUCAAAGGAAUUGACGGGGACCCGCACAAGCGGUGGAGCAUGUGGUUUAAUUCGAAGCAACGCGAAGAACCUUACCAGGUCUUGACAUCCUUUGAAGCUUUUAGAGAUAGAAGUGUUCUCUUCGGAGACAAAGUGACAGGUGGUGCAUGGUCGUCGUCAGCUCGUGUCGUGAGAUGUUGGGUUAAGUCCCGCAACGAGCGCAACCCUUAUUGUUAGUUGCCAGCAUUCAGAUGGGCACUCUAGCGAGACUGCCGGUGACAAACCGGAGGAAGGCGGGGACGACGUCAGA